GUAGAUGACCUCAAUGAUCAGCAUCAGCGCCAGCUUCCCGAUGCAGCUGAUCUGCAGGAACACGGAGCAGGCCAGCAGGCUGAGCAGCACGCUGUAGAAACACCAGACUUCAGAGGGAGCUGAAGAGCUGGAUCUCCUCCUGCCCACCCCCUCACAAAGACCCUUAGUGAUUAGGAGACAUCUUCGCUGUCACAAAAGGCUGGAGCAGAAGGGAGAGACAGAAAAGGAAGAAAAAAUUCCCUAUUGGAUGCAGCCCAACAGCCCAUGGCUAAUUUAUCCACUUGAGACACAUGGGGGUUGUCCUGACCAUUCUACUCUCAAUUUGACUUUGAGAACUUUGGCAAUCAUUUCUAUUGCAGUGAGGUGUGCAGUGGAUAGACCUGGACCAGAGUGAGGAAGACUUGAGUUCAAAUUCUGCCUCACACUUAUUAGCUACAUAACCGUAGACAAGUAAUUUAAUCUAUUUCAGACUCAGUUUUCUCAUCCAUAAAAUAGGCAUAAUAUUAGCAUGCACCUCCCAAGGUGGUUUUGAGAAUGGAUGAGACUUUAAUGUGGAAAGUACUUUGCAAACCUUAAGGUGCUAUGUAAAUGUUAGCCAUUUGGUUUCCAACAUGGGUGGGGAGGAGGUUUUUUGGGUUCACUUGUGGGGCUUAAAGUGUUUCUUAAGUGAUGAGCUGACUAAGCAGAUUCUAUCCACAGCUGAGGUUUGGAAGAGAGCCACAUUUGUUCUUGUUUUGUUUUACUUUGGGUGGAGGUAAAAGGAACAGUCCUCUAGGACCCUCAACUGUGUCCUCACAAUGAGUCCUGGGCCUCAGCCUGCUAUGUGUUGAAACAGGACCUGCUUGUCAGAGGUAAGAAAAGCCAGGCUCUCGGGACCAUCAAUCUCCUAUUUAUGAGGAGCCAGUGAGGCAGGUCCUGACAGAUCCCAGGUUUCCUGAAAGUGCUUCACUCAUCGGGCUUACAGUUUCCCUAGGCUAGGGGGACCAGGAGAGAGGAAGGGAAGGAGAAAUUAAAAAUAGUCUCUAGUCAUCAGCAAACACCUGUCAGGAAGUGGAAACCAGUCGGUUCUCUCCAGGGUUCUCAGUCCAGAUGUGAAAAGAAACAAAUAAACAUCAGCCUGUAGAGGCAGCUGGGGGAAGGAGAGUAGGGUUAGGAGAAAGUUUGGAAAUAGUAGGGAAGGGGAUAGGAGUGGGGAAGAAUCAAGCAGAGAGUCUGCCUUCCCAUUGUUACCUUUGAGGGCAAGUGAUCCUGAAAGAAAGAAACUUGGUCCCAAAGAUCUGGGAGAAAAAGCUUCUCAGAAUAGAACACAGUUUGGGCACCAAAAGUCCUGGAUUCUAGUAUCAGCUUUAAUAUUCAUAUGCUCUGUGACUCUAAAUACAUCUAGCUUUUUUCUCUAGGCUUUGUUUAAAACAAAUAAACAAACAAAAACCAAA